UUCCUUCUUUUUCUCCAUUUUCUUUCUCGUGAUUCCUUCAUAAUUCCCUAGUUCUACCAUAUUUGUGACAAACUAUUAUAUUGCAUUCAGUUUUCUUUGCUGCAGAUCUAUUAAUAUUUUCUGAAAAUCAGUAUUAUUCAUGGAGAGUUAAUUUCUCAUUAAAUUAAAAUGUAUAUACACAUAAAAGCAUGAGACAGAUUUCCAGUAUUCAGGUGCACCUCAAACAUGGUUUUUGUAUAUGAGCGAAGUUAACAACAUUUUAAAUGGAUUCAGAUCCCUUGUCUAAGGAAGAAUUUAAACUGUUGGACACAAAAAGGAACUUGAAAGUUGGUGAUGUAAACCAGUGCAGUCUAACAAAUUAAUGAAGCCAUUAAUAAUAAAAGGAAGUGACCACCAUAGCCAUGGUGUUAUUGUCUUGAGUAGGCGAGAGAUUAGUCAGUAUGUACCACUCCGUUUUAAAAUGUAGGGCAUAUUUGACUAUACAAUUCCACGCUUUGACCAAUACUUCAUCUAUUGUGGGCUAUGUUACACAAAAGUGGCAGCACUGGAUUUUUAUUCAAAAGCACUCUCUUAAUGACUUUGUAACUAUCAUGGUUUUAAAGGCGCCAAGGCGUCCUAAGGCGAGGGGGGGGGGCUUCGACGCUUAGGCGACGCCUACGCGGACGCUUUGGACGCCUACGCGCCUAAGGUGGGCGUUUUUCUAAGGCGGAGGGGGAGCGAUUGGACGCUUAGGCGACGCCUUUAAAACCACGGUAACUAUUAAUAACAUCUUGUAUGAGAAGUUUGUAGUCAAAUUUCAAAUUUGGAUAAUCAAAAACACCCUAUAUUUUGAAAUGGAAUGAGUAUGUCUAACCACAAAUGGUAAUAGAGAUAAGAGAUAAAGAGAGAGAGAUAAGAGAUAAAGAGAGAGAGAGAUUACAUUGUUUAUCCAACAUGCACUAUGUAUACUAGAUGACACCCCGCGCGUUGCAGCGGAAUUGAUAACAAACACUUUACUCACAAAAAGAGUUAAAAUAAACAAAAAUGGGAUCCAGUUUUAUUCAUAGCCAAUGAUUCCCAAGUCUGGGCAAAAGGGUAUGAUAUUAUGUUGAGUAAAGUAAGGACCUUAUUUUUCAUCAAGUAUUGACAAAAGUUUACACGAUAGGUAAUACUAUUCUUGUGUGGAGAAAUGCUGGAGCACAUCAAGAAGUUAAACAAAUAUAUUUUUAGAGCUCAAAUAAUUCUUCGAAACUCAUUUGACGGUUACAACUAUAUUGAUGGUACAGCAAAAUUUGCAUGCUACCAUUUCCAAUGAUAAGGACCAAGUUAGUUAUUUGGUUCCAUUUCUAGCAGCCUAGCACCAUGCGGAGUUUUUUUUGGUUUGUAAUGGUAGUUACAAAUUGAGCCUAACACAAAUUACCGGACUCUUAUAUACCAACGUACAAUGCAUGCAGAAGUUUCUAAGCCAGAUGAACUCUGCAGACGUGUCCUCAGCUCGGCAUAUAUACUGUCAAUAGCAAAGUAGACCUGCAUGAAGGCCACUGAAAUUGUGUUUCCAUCUUUCUCCUGAAAUUCAGACUGAAGGCAAAAUAAAAUAUCUGGCAGACCAAUCCUUAAAACUUACCUAGAAGUGAAAAGAAGGAAAUACCGGCGAGAGGGGGCUCACCUGUGCGCAGUGAAUUGGAUGACCACUACAUGCAGGCAGAGAGCCGAACAGCACACCAAAUCAAGAAGAGUUCUACAGGUCAACCCAUAAAUCGUGGUGACAAUACAGAUGGUGGUGACAAUACAGAUGGGGCAGCGCAUAAAACCU